AGUGAACGUUGGCGGCGUGGAUUAGGCAUGCAAGUCGUGCGGAAAGGCCCCGCAAGGGGUACUCGAGCGGCGUAAGGGAGAGUAAUACGUGGGUUACCUACCCCCCGGCCCGGGAUAGCCACGGGAAACUGUGGGUAAUACCGGAUAAUGUCUCCGGACCAAAGGUGUGAUUCCGUCGGAGGAGGGGCCCGCGUCCUAUUAGCUUGUUGGUGAGGUAACGGCUCACCAAGGCAAAGAUGGGUACGAGGUGUGAGAGCAUGACCUCGCUCACUGGGACUGAGACACUGCCCAGACACCUACGGGUGGCAG
rnacentral:rRNA from 1 species